UUAGUGUUUGGCGUGUAUUCAAAUGCACGUUUUCUGUCACGUAGAUAAUUAAUGAAUAUUUAAGGCAAUCCGCCCUUGAGUAUUUAUUUAUUUUUAUUUAUGUAGGACAUUGAUGUUAAAUCGUAUAAGUGUGAGCUAUAAUGCAUUAAAUCAUGAGAUUAUUUCAUAUGAGAAUAAUGUUUGAUAUGUAUUGUACCUGAGGGUUUUACAGGUCCAAAUGGCCAAGAUAAUUAUUACAGCCCACCAUUUUCAUUAACAAUAUUAUUUAAUCAGUAUCCAGUAUUCUGAGGCAGUAUGAAUAUACAUGAAGAUGGUGACAAUAAUGUGCAACAAAAUUAUGUAAAAAGUGUUUCAGUAGAAUAGAGAAAGUAAGAAAGAAUCAAAAACACCAUGUCAUAUGAACAUGGUCCCAAACAUUAGUACUGGUAACAACAUAGUGUGAAAACAUGGCGGAU